ACGCAGUGCACCAAACGUCUUUUUUGAACGUUCUAUUUUAACUGUCAUCUGAUAACGUGGAUGAAAGGAAUAAGGCUUUCUUAAAUAAAAUAAAAAAAUGACGACCCCAAGAGCCUUAAUAAUAAUCAUUUUUCUAGCAGCAUCUGCUGUACAUUUGCAGGCCUCUGAAAAUGAGAAAAACGCUGAAGGUAUUGUGGUGACUGGUAAUAGCAAAGCAACGCCAAGCUACGAUCAAGUUAUUCCUGCAUUAGAAUUCCUUCAGCAGAUAGAUGAAGAUGGGCAGGUCUCUCCUGAUUUGCCAGAGAAUAUGAAAAUAUUGUUUAAGCUGGAAAUUAUACUGUAUUGUUUUGUGUUGUUGUAUGGACUUCUACACUUACCAUUUUGGGAAACGCUCUACAACAGAUAUAACAGUCCUACAGAAGACUCUAAGACUACUGACCAACCUAAAACAGAAACUUCUGGAGGGGAAGAAAGGAAAAAUCUCUGAAAAUGGAACAGCAUCAAAAUCAUAAGGUGGUGAUUUCCUGAUGUACAUGAAGAUGUCAUGAAGAUGUAUGCAUCUCUUCCGACUGAAACAGUUUUAGAGUUUUCCCAACUUUUGUAUUUGUAAUUCUUAAUAUAGCAUAUUUGUUACUCUAUUAAAAACAUGAAUAAGGUU